UGCCAGCAGCCGCGGUAACACGGAGGGUGCGAGCGUUAAUCGGAAUUACUGGGCGUAAAGCGCGCGUAGGUGGUCUGUUAAGUCGGAUGUGAAAGCCCCGGGCUCAACCCGGGAACUGCAUUCGAUACUGGCAGACUAGAGUGUGAGAGAGGGAGGUAGAAUUCCAUGUGUAGCGGUGAAAUGCGUAGAUAUGUGGAGGAAUACCAGUGGCGAAGGCGGCCUCCUGGAUCUGUACUGACACUGAGGUGCGAAAGCGUGGGUAGCGAACAGGAUUAGAUA
rnacentral:rRNA from 1 species